GACGAACGCUGGCGGCGUGCCUAACACAUGCAAGUCGAGCGAGAGACUUCGGUCUCUAGCGGCGGACGGGUGAGUAACACGUGGGUAACCUGCCUCAUAGAGGGGGAUAGCCUCCCGAAAGGGAGAUUAAUACCGCAUAAUAUGUAUUGAUUGCAUGAUCAAGACAUUAAAGGAGAAAUCCGCUAUGAGAUGGACCCGCGGCGCAUUAGCUAGUUGGAGAGGUAACGGCUCACCAAGGCGACGAUGCGUAGCCGACCUGAGAGGGUGAUCGGCCACAUUGGAACUGAGAAACGGUCCAGACUCCUACGGGAGGCAGCAGUGGGGAAUAUUGCACAAUGGGGGAAACCCUGAUGCAGCAACGCCGCGUGAGUGAAGAAGGCCUUCGGGUUGUAAAGCUCUGUCAUUGGGGACGAUAAUGACGGUACCCAAUGAGGAAGCCACGGCUAACUACGUGCCAGCAGCCGCCGUAACAC
rnacentral:rRNA from 1 species